AGAUUGAACGCUAGCGGGAUGCUUACGACAUGCAAGUCGAACGGCAGCGCGGACUUCGGUCUGGCGGCGAGUGGCGAACGGGUGAGUAAUAUAUCGGAACGUGCCCAGUAGCGGGGGAUAACUACGCGAAAGCGUGGCUAAUACCGCAUACGCCCUACGGGGGAAAGGGGGGGAUCGCAAGACCUCUCACUAUUGGAGCGGCCGAUAUCAGAUUAGCUAGUUGGUGAGGUAAAGGCUCACCAAGGCGACGAUCUGUAGCUGGUUUGAGAGGACGACCAGCCACACUGGGACUGAGACACGGCCCAGACUCCUACGGGAGGCAGCAGUGGGGGAAUUUUGGACAAUGGGGGAAACCUGAUCCAGCCAUCCCGCGUGUGCGAUGAAGGCCUCGGUUGUAAG
rnacentral:rRNA from 1 species